CCAUCUGCUGGUCCCAGCUAAUUUUACCUUUUUAAAUUUAUCUAUACAGUUGAAAUCACUUGCUGAGAGUCAAGAGAUCCAUGUUCUGGCCAUAAUUAUGUCAACAAUUCACCAAGCAACUUGAGAUAAGACAGAAAUGAAAAGGGAUAGAAGAGCUACUCCAGGGAAACUCAUUGAGAACAAGAAGGCUGACAACAGUGGACGAAACAGAAGCAUAUAUAAAAUUCACAGCCAGAUGCUGCCCUGAUUUAUUUCCCUGCAAGGAACUGCUGAGAUCAGGACAGGAGACCAGGCUAGAAAUC